UACGAAGGGGGCUAGCGUUGCUCGGAGUCACUGGGCGUAAAGCGCACGUAGGCGGGUCUCUAAGUCAGGGGUGAAAUCCUGGAGCUCAACUCCAGAACUGCCUUUGAUACUGAAGAUCUUGAGUUCGGGAGAGGUGAGUGGAACUGCGAGUGUAGAGGUGAAAUUCGUAGAUAUUCGCAAGAACACCAGUGGCGAAGGCGGCUCACUGGCCCGAUACUGACGCUGAGGCACGAAAGCGUGGGGAGCAAACAGG
rnacentral:rRNA from 1 species